AUACACUGGCCGCACUCUGGUGCCCGCGCGCAUGUCACUGUGCGCGCAGUUAAACGGGAAGCAGGGCGCGCGGCUCACCUGAACGCGCUAACCUGCGCUGCCCCCGCAACGGUAAGCGACCGCAUUGGCGCGCUCGUGUUGCGCUCGUAUUGCAGUUCAGUACUGCCAUACGGGUGACGACUGGGUGACAACUGGCUAGCAGUUCCGGCCAGCAACUCGCGCUUUGCAGUUCGAUCCCCAUCGCGAGUUCCGGUUCAACUCGCGAGUGUGCCACUGCGCGUCACGCGUGGGAAGGCGGGAUCGAAAGUCGCUAGCCCGGAUACCGGCCAGAGGGAGGGGCGCAAU
rnacentral:ncRNA from 2 species